UUGAAAAUAGUACUAUAUUAUAUGUCAUAUAUGAAAUUUACACUUUUUGUAUAUAUCUAAUGUAUAUCAGAGUAUAUCGGAUGUAUACAACCCAUUUUUCCGCUUUCCGGGACCUGUACAUCAAUUCCAAAGACCUGUUCUUCGAUUUCUCAAGGUUGACUGACUCGAUAAAAGAAUUUUAGGCCUCCAUGGCCCAUUGGAGGAGGAAAACGAACGAGAAAGAAUCCAUUUGGACUCCAAAGAGAUUUGGCAGACAACAAGACAAAAUAAGAUGAGGAUCAGUAUCAAUUUCCAAUAGAAACAAGCAAAUGAUGAAGUAAUAUGAAGCACUAACAAGAGAAUCAUAAGAAUACAUAAUAUGAGAAAGUAAGGCACAAACAUAGGAAAUGAACAAGAAAUUAAUAAGAGCAGGGGCAUUAAUAUUAUCUCAUGACCAAACAAAUGACACAUGCCAUACAUUUCGACAUACAUUUAACAACAAACCAAACUAUAAUCCAUUUGAAAAGUUCAAAGAUUUAACCGGCUGCAUCCCAUUAUAAAAUAAAAAUUAGAAGCAUGAUUUCUCUUAUAACUUUGCACUAAGAUAAUAACUUUAAAAUCCCGCACCACCGCUAAUCAUAAAUAAUUAAGCAACAAACUUUAAACGAAACUUGAUCAUGCUGAAAAGAUGAACUCAACAAACAUUCAAGAUGAACUUAAGCGGAAAACAAUAUCCUUCGAUUCGAGAUGAACUCAACAAACAUUCGAGUAAAGAAAUGAAAAUAAAAUAAAUAAAAUGGGCAGCACUAAAGAUACAAGAUCGAACUUAAGAGACUUCAAAAAAAAAAACACACACACAAUCAUGAGUUGCAAACACGACUACAACAACUGAAAUAUAAGAGAAACACAACCAACAUUCAAGCUGUGUUUGCACAGAGAUAGAUUUUAUAAUAUCGAGGCAGCAUAUAAGAGUUCAAAAUGACCGAAACGACAACCAAGGGGACAAACGAACAGUAAAGAAGACACAACUGUGUAACCAACACAUUCGAACUGAAAACAAGUGAACAUCAAACCAUUUUAGACAAAACGAGGCCGAGAUUCAACUAGUCAUAUAGAUAUAAAUCGAGUUAAUGAACAUAACGAUCAACAUAUAAUAUCAAAGCAAACUUCAUUGAUGUCGAAUCCAUCCUUACUGUCCAAAAACUCGCAGGAAAACAAGAUUAAAGCGAGUGCUAAAUGAAAGAACCAAAUACUCUUAUUAACAGACCCUAUAUCAAGUGUUGAACACACACAACGUCCUACAUUGAAACAGAAUACAAAAGAAGGCGAGGUUACCUUUUUUCGGGCAGCGAUUGGGACGACGAGCUCGAUUAUGAAGCAACCCCCACUACCACAACAAAGUUUCAUUGGAGAAUCCUCCGAGUUCCCGAAACCAA
rnacentral:lncRNA from 1 species